rnacentral:rRNA from 1 species
GAUGAACGCUAGCUACAGGCUUAACACAUGCAAGUCGAGGGGCAGCAUGAAAGUUUGCUUGCAAACUUUUGAUGGCGACCGGCGCACGGGUGAGUAACACGUAUCCAACCUGCCUCAUACUCGGGGAUAGCCUUUCGAAAGAAAGAUUAAUACCCGAUGUCAUAGUCCUACCGCAUGAUGGGAUUAUUAAAGAAUUUCGGUAUGGGAUGGGGAUGCGUUCCAUUAGUGAGUUGGCGGGGUAACGGCCCACCAAGACGACGAUGGAUAGGGGUUCUGAGAGGAAGGUCCCCCACAUUGGAACUGAGACACGGUCCAA